rnacentral:rRNA from 1 species
ACUUAAAUUGAAGAGUUUGAUCAUGGCUCAGAUUGAACGCUGGCGGCAGGCCUAACACAUGCAAGUCGAGCGGUAACACAGGGAGCUUGCUCCCGGGUGACGAGCG